AGCAUAUCAAUAAGCGGAGGAAAAGAAACCAACAGGGAUUGCCUCAGUAACGGCGAGUGAAGCGGCAACAGCUCAAAUUUGAAAUCUGGCCUUCGGGUCCGAGUUGUAAUUUGCAGAGGAUGCUUUUGACGAUGCGGCGACCGAGUCCCCUGGAAUGGGGCGCCAUAGAGGGUGAGAGCCCCGUAUGGUCGCACUGCUGAGUCUCUGUAAAGCUCCUUCAACGAGUCGAGUAGUUUGGGAAUGCUGCUCUAAAUGGGAGGUGUAUGUCUUCUAAAGCUAAAUACCGGCCAGUGACCGAUAGCGCACAAGUAGAGUGAUCGAAAGGUGAAAAGAACUUUGAAAAGAGAGUUAAAAAGUACGUGAAAUUGUCAAAAGGGAAGCAUUUAUGACCAGACUUGGGCGUGGUUGAUCAUCCGGUGUUCUCACCGGUGCACUCUGCCCGCCUAGGCCAGCAUCAGUUCGCCUCGGGGGAGAAAGGCUUCGGGAAUGUGGCUCCUUCGGGAGUGUUAUAGCCCGUUGCGUAAUGCCCUGGGGUGGACUGAGGUCCGCGCUCGCGCUUGGAUGUUGGCAUAAUGGUCAUCAAUGACCCGUCUUGAAACACGGACCAAGGAGUCGUCUUCGUAUGCGAGUGUUCGGGUGUCAAACCCCUACGCGAAAUGAAAGUGAACGCAGGUGGGAGCUUCGGCGCACCACCGACCGAUCCUGAUGUUCUCGGAUGGAUUUGAGUAAGAGCAUACGGGGCCGGACCCGAAAGAAGGUGAACUAUGCCUGUGUAGGGUGAAGCCAGAGGAAACUCUGGUGGAGGCUCGCAGCGGUUCUGACGUGCAAAUCGAUCGUCAAACAUGGGCAUGGGGGCGAAAGACUAAUCGAACCUUCUAGUAGCUGGUUUCCGCCGAAGU
rnacentral:rRNA from 1 species